AUGAGACUAAGAAUCCGGUUUGAUUCGCGGUUUCAUUCCAAGUGCCUGAGGGCUUCAGAAGUGUGUGUUGAGUCCAUCAAUAAAGGAAAGAAGGCGUUCGGACGAGAGGAAGUGAGGGGGGUAAGUGAAAGAGAAAGAAAAGGAGGAAAUGGAGCCGAAGGCGACUCAGACAGGAACAGAGACAGAGGGAGAGAGAAGAGAGACAGAGAGCGAGAAACGAAAGAGCGAAGGAAGCGCCACGAGCCCUUCUUACUGAAUGAGCACGCCCGCCGCCGCCUGCGCGAACCCUCAGGCUGGGGGGCGCUGCGUCUCCGGGCGCAGUGCCAGGACCCUCCGGAGCUGCUGCGGACCCGGCCAAGGGUCGUAUCCCGCACGGCGAGCGCAGGUGCCGGGUGCAGGGGGUGGUCCCAGGCCCCGCCCCCGGCCCGCAGGCCCCGCCCUCAGUCCCCGCCCCCCCGGCAACCCGGCGCGCGCGGCAUUGUGGGAGUUGUGGUCCCGGCGGCCCCGCGGAGCGCAGCGCGGCGUCGGCACCGGCGGGGGGCACCGGCGCGGCUCGGGUUCGGGCUCGGGCUCGGGCUCGGGCUCCCGCGGCGUGGGCUGGGCAGCGGCCGGGCGGCGGCUCCGCGGCGCGGGGCAGGGGGCGUCCGCAGAUCCGCGCCCUCGGGCGGCGGCGUCUCCUGGGUCCCGGCAGCCGCCCGGGCUCAGGUAAGCUUCGUCUCCGGGGGCUGCCGGGGAGGGAGGGCGGCUCGGCCGGGCAGGGGUUGGAGGCGGGAGCCGGGCGGCUGCAGGCCCGCGGCCCUCCCUUCCCGGUGCUGCCCCCGCCCCCGCCCCCGCCCCCGCCCCCGCCCCCGCCGAGGAUGCUCCGGGACCCGGGCGCCCGCAUCCUGGCCCGGCCGAGGCCAGAGCUGGUGCGUGCUGAGCGCCGCCGCCUCGGAGCCGGGCAUCACCCUCCCUAGACCUCCUGUUUCUCCUCCUCCUCCUCUCUGCCCCGUCGUGGCCCCUUCCUCCAUCUCCCUCCUCCCCUGUGACCCCUCUUUCCCCGCCUCCUCUCCUCCUCCCGCAGCCCUCAGCGUCACCCACUUCCCAUAUUUCACGUGGUGA
rnacentral:lncRNA from 1 species